CGGGUUGUAGUAUAGUGGUCGUACGCAUGCAUGGGGUGCAUGUAGCCCGGGUUCAAUUCCCGGCAGCCCGACAA
rnacentral:tRNA from 1 species